GAUGAACGCUGCGGCGUGCCUAAUACAUGCAAGUCGAGCGAACGGACGAGAAGCUUGCUUCUCUGAUGUUAGCGGCGGACGGGUGAGUAACACGUGGAUAACCUACCUAUAAGACUGGGAUAACUUCGGGAAACCGGAGCUAAUACCGGAUAAUAUUUUGAACCGCAUGGUUCAAAAGUGAAAGACGGUCUUGCUGUCACUUAUAGAUGGAUCCGCGCUGCAUUAGCUAGUUGGUAAGGUAACGGCUUACCAAGGCAACGAUGCAUAGCCGACCUGAGAGGGUGAUCGGCCACACUGGAACUGAGACACGGUCCAGACUCCUACGGGAGGCAGCAGUAGGGAAUCUUCCGCAAUGGGCGAAAGCCUGACGGAGCAACGCCGCGUGAGUGAUGAAGGUCUUCGGAUCGUAAAACUCUGUUAUUAGGGAAGAACAUAUGUGUAAGUAACUGUGCACAUCUUGACGGUACCUAAUCAGAAAGCCACGGCUAACUACGUG
rnacentral:rRNA from 1 species